UUUAUGGAGAGUUUGAUCCUGGCUCAGAGUGAACGCUGGCGGCGUGCCUAAUACAUGCAAGUCGAACGAUGAAGCUUCUAGCUUGCUAGAGUGCUGAUUAGUGGCGCACGGGUGAGUAACGCAUAGGUCAUGUGCCUCUUAGUUUGGGAUAGCCAUUGGAAACGAUGAUUAAUACCAGAUACUCCCUACGGGGGAAAGAUUUAUCGCUAAGAGAUCAGCCUAUGUCCUAUCAGCUUGUUGGUAAGGUAAUGGCUUACCAAGGCUAUGACGGGUAUCCGGCCUGAGAGGGUGAACGGACACACUGGAACUGAGACACGGUCCAGACUCCUACGGGAGGCAGCAGUAGGGAAUAUUGCUCAAUGGGGGAAACCCUGAAGCAGCAACGCCGCGUGGAGGAUGAAGGUUUUAGGAUUGUAAACUCCUUUUGUUAGAGAAGAUAAUGACGGUAUCUAACGAAUAAGCACCGGCUAACUCCGUGCCAGCAGUCGCGGUAAUACGGAGGGUGCAAGCGUUACUCGGAAUCACUGGGCGUAAAGAGCGCGUAGGCGGGAUAGUCAGUCAGGUGUGAAAUCCUAUGGCUUAACCAUAGAACUGCAUUUGAAACUACUAUUCUAGAGUGUGGGAGAGGUAGGUGGAAUUCUUGGUGUAGGGGUAAAAUCCGUAGAGAUCAAGAGGAAUACUCAUUGCGAAGGCGACCUGCUGGAACAUUACUGACGCUGAUUGCGCGAAAGCGUGGGGAGCAAACAGGAUUAGAUACCCUGGUAGUCCACGCCCUAAACGAUGGAUGCUAGUUGUUGGAGGGCUUAGUCUCUCCAGUAAUGCAGCUAACGCAUUAAGCAUCCCGCCUGGGGAGUACGGUCGCAAGAUUAAAACUCAAAGGAAUAGACGGGGACCCGCACAAGCGGUGGAGCAUGUGGUUUAAUUCGAAGAUACACGAAGAACCUUACCUAGGCUUGACAUUGAGAGAAUCCGCUAGAAAUAGUGGAGUGUCUGGCUUGCUAGACCUUGAAAACAGGUGCUGCACGGCUGUCGUCAGCUCGUGUCGUGAGAUGUUGGGUUAAGUCCCGCAACGAGCGCAACCCCCUUUCUUAGUUGCUAACAGGUUAUGCUGAGAACUCUAAGGAUACUGCCUCCGUAAGGAGGAGGAAGGUGGGGACGACGUCAAGUCAUCAUGGCCCUUACGCCUAGGGCUACACACGUGCUACAAUGGGGUGUACAAAGAGAAGCAAUACUGCGAAGUGGAGCCAAUCUUCAAAACAUCUCUCAGUUCGGAUUGUAGGCUGCAACUCGCCUGCAUGAAGCUGGAAUCGCUAGUAAUCGCAAAUCAGCCAUGUUGCGGUGAAUACGUUCCCGGGUCUUGUACUCACCGCCCGUCACACCAUGGGAGUUGUGUUUGCCUUAAGUCAGGAUGCUAAAUUGGCUACUGCCCACGGCACACACAGCGACUGGGGUGAAGUCGUAACAAGGUAACCGUAGGUGAACCUGCGGUUGGAUCACCUCCUUUCUAGA
rnacentral:rRNA from 1 species